rnacentral:rRNA from 1 species
GACGAACGCUGGCGGCGUGCUUAACACAUGCAAGUCGAGCGGUAAGGCCCUUUCGGGGGUACACGAGCGGCGAACGGGUGAGUAACACGUGGGUGACCUGCCCUCAGCUCUGGGAUAAAGCCCGGGAAACCGGGUCUAAUACCGGAUAUGACCCCAUGACGCAUGUUGUGGGGCGAAAGCCUUGUGCGGCUGAGGAUGGGCCCGCGGCCUAUCAGCUUGUUGGUGGGGUGAUGGCCUACCAAGGCGACGACGGGUAGCCGGCCUGAGAGGGCGACCGGCCACACUGGGACUGAGACACGGCCCAGACUCCUACGGGAGGCAGCAGUGGGGAAUCUUGCGCAAUGGGCGAAAGCCUGACGCAGCGACGCCGCGUGAGGGAUGACGGCCUGGU